GCCAUGCAGGCCUAAGGAGAUGUCCAAUUAGGGCCCUUCCACACAGCCAUAUAACCCAGAAUAUUGACACAAUAACCCAUAAUAUUUGCUUUGAACUGGGUUAUCUGAGUCCACAUUGCCAUAUAUCCCAGUUCAAAGCAGAUAAUAUAGGAUUUUCUUCAGCUGUGUGGAAGGGGCAAUAGAGGAGGAGGAGGGGGAAGUAGGACCACCUAAGGUCCCUUCCACAUAGCUGUAUAAAAUCCCACAUUAUCUGCUUUGAACUGGGAUAUAUGGCAGUGUGGACACAGAUAACCCAGUUCAAAGCUGAUCUUGCGGGAUUUUCUGCCUUGAUAUUCAAGGUUAUAUGGCUGCGUGGAAGGGUCCAAAACAGGGCUGCCAUAUAAUCCGGUUUCUGAUCUCAGAAUCUCAGUUUUGAACUGGCUAAUAUGGCAGUGUGGACUCAUAUAAUCCAGUUCAAAGCAGAUACUCUGGGAUCAGAUACUGGAUUAUAAGGUGGUUUAGAUUCAGCCUAAGUGAUAAGGACACAUACCUACAUCGCGUCACCUGCAACAUCACUUGGAGCACCUCAAUAUAUACAAGAAUAAGAUAUAGAAAUAAUAACAUUGUAAUGUAAUAUUACAUUAAUAUUAAGGUAAUGUUAUAUAUAAUACUAGCUGUGCCCGGCCAUGCGUUGCUGUGGCGAAGUCUGGUGGUCUGGGAAAUAAAGUAUUGAGGAAUUGGUGGUAGUUAAGGUCAAGGGUAAAGGUUUUCCCCAGACAUUAAGUCCAGUCGUGUCUGACUCUGGAGGUUGGUGCUCAUCUCCAUUUCUAAACCGAAGAGCCGGCGUUGUCCGUAGACUCCUCCAAGGUCAUGUGGGAUGACUACAUGGAGCGGUGUUACCUUCCCGCCGGAGCAGUACCUAUUGAUGCACUCACAUUUGCAUGUUUUCGAACUUCUGGGUUGGCAGAAGCUGGAGCUAACAGUGGGGGCUCUCUCCGCUCCCCCAAUUCAAACCUGUGGCCUUUCGGUCCAGAAGUUCAGCAGCUCAGCGCUUUAACACGCUGCGCCAUCAGGGGAUAUUGUUUCCUAAAGGUUGUGAAUAUACAAUAUUUCUGAUUGGUUUUUUUGUUUAUUUGUUGGAGGCAAGUAUGAAUGCUGCAAUUAGGAAAAAUGAUUAGGAUGUAAUGGCCUUGCAGCUUUAAAGCCUGGCUGUUUCCUCCCUGAGUGAAUUUUUUGUUGGGAGGUGUUCGCUGGCCCUGAUUGUUUCCUGUCUGGAAUUCCCUUGUUUUCAGAGUGGUGUUGUUUGCGAUAUUUUAUGUGCUUCUACUGUCUGUGGCCCUGAGAAAACAGAGGAUUUUCCAGACUUUGAUGAUGGGAAUACUUUGUUGGGAGGUGUUAGCUGGCCCUGAUUGUUUCCUGUCUGGAAUUCCCUUGUUUUCAGAGUGGUGUUGUUUGCGAUAUUUUAUGUGCUUCUACUGUCUGUGGCUUUGAGAAAACAGGAUUUGCCAGACUUUGAUGAUGGGAAUACUUUGUUGGGAGGUGUUAGCUGGCCCCGAUUGUUUCCUCUGUGGAAUUCCCCUGUUUAUUUACUGUCCUGGUUUUAGAGAUUAUAUUGUUCUGCAUUAUUCUAUCCCAGUAAUUAUUUCAUAUUAAAGAAGAAUCUCACUUAUCCAACAUUCGCUUAUACAAUGUUCUGGAUUAUCCAACGCAGUCUGCCUUUUCAUAAUCAAUGUUUUUGUAGUCAGUGUUUUAAAUUCAUUGUGAUAUUUUAGUGGUAAAUUUGUAAAUACAGUACAGUAGAGUCUCACUUAUCCAACAUAAACGGGCCGGCAGAACGUUGGAUAAGCGAAUAUGUUGGAUAAUGAGGAAUUAAGGAUAACCCUAUUAAACAUCAAAUUAAGUUAUGAUUUUACAAAUGAAGCACCAAAACAUCAUGUUAGACAACAAAUUUGUCAGAAAAAGUAGUUCAGUACACAGUAAUGCUAUAUAGUAAUUACUGUAUUUAUGAAUUUAGCACCAAAAUAUCACGAUAUAUUGAAAGCAUUGACUACAAAAAUGUGUUGGAUAAUCCAGAAUGUUGGAUAAGCGAGUGUUGGAUAAGUGAGACUCUACUGUAAAUACUACAUAGCAUUACUGCGCAUGGAACUACUUUUUCUGUCAAAUUUGUUGUAUAACAUGAUGUUUUGGUGCUUAAUUUGUAUAACGAUUACCUAAUUUGAUGUUUAAUUGGCUUUUCCUGAAUCCCUUCUUAUUAUCCAACAUAUUCACUUAUCCUGCCGGCCUGUUUACGUUGGAUAAGUGAGACUCUACUGUAUAUUGAUAAUCUUAAAUUAUCUGCUUAGAACUGGAUUAUCUGAGGCCCCUUCUUCACAGCUGUAUAAAAUGCACACUGAAGUGGAUUAUAUGGCAGUGUGGAGUCAAGAUAAUCCAGUUCAAAGCAGAUAAUAUAAGAUUAUAAAUGGGUUAUAUAGCUGUGUGGAAGGGCCUUGAGUUUACACUGCCAUAUAAUCCAGUGCAAAUUAGAUAAUCUGUGGAAGAAGUCUAAGUGAGGCCUAAAUCUGCCUGUCCCCUAACUGAAACCUGGCUGUCCCUUGGUUGCUAGGCAACCGAGUGGGCAGAGAUUAGCCCUCUAAACUGGCAGCAAUUGGAUAAAAAAAAUUAUUGCUCUCCCUCUAAUUAGGACUUUAUUUUUCUUUUCUUUUUGUUGUAUCAACCUUGAGGCGUGGAUGAUGGGUUGUGUUGUCAAAUUUUGAGGUUGGGGGGGCCUGUACUUUUGUUGUUUUGUGAAUUGCCGUGAUGCCAUCACUCUUUUAUAUAUAUAGAUUAACAAUGUAAUAUAUAUUAUAUAUACUACAACUUAUGAUAUAGUACAAUAUAUUAUAUAAUACUAAUAGGAUAAUAUACUGGUGUAUUGUAUAUAUAUUGUGGUAUAAUAAUAUAGGAGCCCCCAGUGGCACAGUGGGUUAAGUUGCUGAGCUGCUGAACUUGCUGACUGAAAAGUUGCCGGUUUAAAUCUGGGGAGCAGGGUGAGCUCCCGAUGUUAGCCCCAGCUUCUGCCAACCUAGCAGUUCUAAAACAUGCAAAUGUUAGUAGAUCAAUAGGUACCAUUCUGGCGGGAAGGUAAUGGCCCUCCAUGUAGUCAUGCCGGUCACAUAAACUUGAAGGUGUCUAUGGACAAUGCCGGCUCUUCACUUUAGAAAUGGAAAUGAGUACAAACCCCCAGAACCAGACACAACUAGACUUAAUGUCAAGGGAAAAUCUUUACCUUUACUUAUUAUAUAUAUAUAUAGUGGUAUAAUAAUAUAGGAGCCCCCGGUGGCACAGCGCGUUGAGCCGCUGAGCUGCUGACCUUGCUGACUGAAAGGUUGGCAGUUUGAAUCCGGGGAACAAGGUGAGUUCCUGCUGUUAGCCCCAGCUUCUGCCAACUCAGCAGUUCGAAAAUAUGCAAAUGGGAGUAGAUCAAUAGAUACCGCUCUAAUGGUAAGGUGACGGUGCUCCAAGCAAUCAUGCCGACCACAUGACCUUGGAGGUGUCUAGGGAAAACACUGGCUCUUUGCCUUAGAAAUAGAGAUAAGCACCAACUCCCAGAGUGGGACAUGACUAGACUUAAUGUCAGGGGAAAACCUUUGCCUUUAGUUAUAAUAAAAUACAAUAUAAUAUAUAAUAAUAAUAAUAAUAAUAAUUGUAUAUUACAUGUAAUAUCCCUCAAUAUUACUAAUAAUAUUGCAGUAUAGUGUCUAAAAUUCACAUUAUAUGGCAGUGUGGACUCAAAGCAGUUAUUGUGGAUUAUCUACCUUGAUAUUCUGGGUUAUAUGGCUGUGUGGAAGGGCCCUGAAACAAGAUUGGGGGAGGGGGGAAUUGCUAAAGACGAGUAGGGUAGAAUGGAGAAAGACAUUGUUCCAAGAUGAUUAUGAUGAUAUUUAUAUCCUACUUUUAUCUCCCAGCCAAGACACAAAGCGACUCACAAUGUUAAAAAAGAACAAUUUUAUUUCAAAUCCAUAAAUGCACAGAUAUUAAAAUAGAAUUAAACAAACAUACCCAGCUUACAUAAGAACUUUCAUCUUUAAAAGCCUGUCUGAAUAGAAACGUUUUUAGUUGCGUAUAGUUAUCAAGCAUGCAAGUUAUCAGAAUUAACCUGUUUAUUCAGAAAGACCUUUAAAUAUUAAUGUGUUUAAGAUUGAAUCGGAGUGGUGUGGUUUUAAACUUUGAAUGUGUUUUGAUGGAUUUUAACUGAAUGUUUUAGUGCUGUUUGUGUUUAAUUCUGUUUCAAAGUUUGUAUAUUUGUAUAUUUUAAAUUCUAUCCUAAUGCUUUUAAGUCAAGCCACUUUGAGUCCCCUUGGGGAGAUAAAGUGGGGUAUAAAUAAAUAUAAUAAUAAUAAUAAAGUCUUGCUGAAGAAGAAGCAUUCUUUGCACCAAACCACAUCCUACCAGAUGAGUAGCAGUGUCAUCCCAGGAGCCAUCCUUCCAAAAUUGACCUGAAACCUGUUGAAAACAACACCAGAACUAAUUUAUGCUUUCCAUGUUUCACUUCCCUCCCUGCUUUGGUUGGCUUAGUGAUUUUCUAUUGUCAUUUCACUGUGGUCUUGGUUCAAGCAAAGUUGAAGAACUCUAAGGAUGAAGAAGGUAUUGGUGUUUUCUGCCCUUGAAAAUGUGUUCAGUAACAGGCCGGUCAUUAUAUGAGUUUACUUAUUCAAUGAGAGCUUGCUGUACAUACAUUUUUGGACCACUGCUAUCCAAAACAUGAAACAGUAGACCAUGUCUACAAAAUCUUAUCCCAUAAUCUAUGUGUUCAUCUUUACAGAACCACAAGGCUCUUUGUAGUAUGACAUUUUUGAAGCAAGUGCAGUCACAGUCCACAUUGCCUGUUGUCGGAUGAGUUGUUCUGGCGAUGUAUGUCUGCACCAAAAAAAUAAGUUGAAGAUGUGAGUACUGUUUAUAACACUCAUAUCUGUGGAAAAGGUUUUUCUCCAGUUGUAUGGUUUCACAAACCUCCAAAUGUAGCUGUUGACAAAAGUAUUGACAAAAAGUAAUUGUGUAUAUACCACUGACAUCAAGUUUUCCACAAACGUUUCUAGAAGUUGGAUGCCUUUCUUCAUCCUUAAUGUCUUAUUGCCUUAUAUGAAAACUGAGGUGCUGCAGCAGGUGUUGUCUGCCUGCCUGUUAUAUUUUUAAGCAUUGUGCUUCAUGAAAGUUUUGCUGCCCAGAAAACUUGUGAUCUUGUGAAACAGAAGUGGAUGACAUCACACAGACACACACAUGCAGUUAUUCUUAAAUUCACAGGAAGCCACAGCCACCUUUGGUGAGUUUUCAUUUUUUUUAUGUUGUGAGUUGAAGAGAAUUCCAGUGUUGGGCUAUCUAAUAUUUAAUUACACUACGUAACAAAAAUUGAAAAAAAUAUGUUCUUGUUUUGAAAGUGUUAUUUCCUGUUUAAUUGUGUGGUACUUGCUUUGAAAGUAGUUGUUAUACUCUAGAAACUUCGUUUCUGUGGUUGCCACAAACUAUGUUGAAUUGGUUGAAACUCAAUGAGAUAUUCAUUGAAAAACACUAGCAAAAUGUGCUGCAGGACGUCUCGCACAAGUUUUUUCAGUUUAAUAAAUGUUUGCCAUGUUUUUAUGAUAGAACCAAUUAGGAAAUGACAUUUAUAAUCCAGGAACAAUAAUCGUGUUACAUAGUGUUAUUUCAAUCUUGGUGUCUGAUUUUUUUUAAGUACAUGUUGCUCUAUCUUUAUUUCAAUUAUUUGAAACAGUAGGAACAUUUGUUCCAGGAGGCAAUGUUCUCAAAGAGUAUAAAGAUGAAUCUUCAGUAACCAAUAACAUGAACAGGUUAAGGUGGUUUAAAUCCUGGUAAGGCCUGGUUCAACCACAGAAAGAAGCAGGGGAAAAUGAAGGUGAUGCAGAAUACUGAUCUAGGUCACUAAUGCAAGAGGUUGGUACUGAAAGAAAAUAUUUGCGACACUGUCUUGUGGAGAGGGAUAGAUAUUCAUACCAAAUAUUUGAGCCUUAACAUGCACAUUUCAACAGUAUGCACCCUAGCCAUUCCAAGGGGAAAGUCAUAUUUCUACAUUCUGUAGAGAAUGAUUUUAUUUCAAACAACACAUAAUUGUUCAGAAGAACCACUUUGACCUAAACAAGAAGAGACCAAACACAAACCAAAGUAUUAAACCUGACUUUUUCAUGUGGAUCCUACAAGACCGUAUCCUGCUAUUUUCAGUAUAGGCUUAGAUUUGAUUGGAAUUUUGUGCACUUUCAGUUAGCAAAGACAUGUAUUUCUUUAUUUGGAGAUAUGGGUUCUUCUUGAAAAAUUAUUAUUUAGCAUUUAAACUUUAAAUAUGAGCUCAACGUUAUACCGUAAAUGUAUGCCAUAGUGAGUACAAGUGUUAUGACUGCUCCAGCUAAUAAGAUUUCCAGUCUACCUCCUAAUAAAGAAUUUGUGAUCCAUAUGUACUGUACAUUAAAACUAUGAGCUGCUGCUUUCCUUUAAAAUAUGAGAAGUUUCAUGAUAUUUUAAAAAAAUCAAAAUUACAGCCAUGAGGCCUUGCAGGUAGUGAUAUGUAUUGCUUUGUAACUGCUCAAAGUUUUGGGCUCUUCACUGUAAACAUUUAAAUGACCCAUAACCAGCAAAUAUAUUGUUUUCAGUUUGUUCUGUUUGUAAUAGGCUAAAGUGAGAGAGUAUCACCAAGGAAGGAGGGGCUAUUUAAGCCAAGCAGCUGUCAUAAUAACAAGUGUGGUCCAAACUCCAUUAUACUAUAAUCAGAUCGAACGAAUGAAAUAAGAAAUGGAAGUGUGAUUAUCUCCUGCAGAUCCAAAGCUAGUAGACAGAAAAUGGUGACAGUAUCUGCACAUCCCUUGCAUCUGGAGAAGACCAGGAAACUCUGCUGUGUCUACAAAUCAUGGAUCAUGGUCAAAUUCACCUUCUCAGAUCAUCCUUAACAAGAUUGAGACAGUCACAUGAAGUCUUCCGCCAAAAUUUAAAGAACAAGACAAAGAACAAAGAGAGGCAGGUCGGCUACUUGGAGAAACAUUGACAGGCGACUGAAAGAAGUGGCAGUUUCUAUUUUACCUUAGUGAUCUCCAGGAAGGUUAAUUUGAGCUUGGAAAAGUUUUUAAAAGAAAAGAGCUUGCAUCCCAGGACAUAAAUCCAACUCUGUUCUCAGUCAAGGUAUACCCACCGAAUCAAUUACUAAAUAUUAAUUGAUACUUAUGUAGAUCCCACUGAAUCAGUCUGCUCUGGCUGGAACUAAUAAUUGGAUUUAGGCUCAGGAUAGGAUAGGAGAUAGCUAGAGAAGAUCAAGCUACAUCCAAUUAGUAGUUAUAUCCUGGGAUGCUGAAAGGACCUGAAGACUUUAUAGUUAUUCUGAAGUAGGAAUAAAUACCAAGUUCAACUUUCCAAUGGUGAUAUAAAGGUAAAUCAGAAUUGGACUAAAACAGGUUCGUUUGCAGAAUUAUGGCUUUUGUAGGGCACAAUGUCUAAAGCCAUGAGACAUCAAUGAGAGGGAUGAUACCUAUGGGAAAAGUUUGUUCAGAGCCCUGUUUUGAGAUGCUUUUUUGAGUGUGGUGCUGGAGACCUUUGCCUGGACAAUAGGCCUUUAAUAACAGUGAGUUGAUAAGUGGUGUCUCUGUCAGCAUUCUUUCAGGGAGACUGCAAAUACGGGUAAAGACUGGUUUUAGAGUUUGGUGAGCCUGGUACUCACAGGGCACAAAGCUGAAAUGAUUCUCAGUGACUUUACAUCCUCUGGAUGCGGUGAUCUAGAUAGUUGAUAAAAGUUUGUGACUUUUCCAAAGUUCUCCAGACUAUUAAGCUACUAGGUUAUUUUAAUUAGCUAGGUUGAAAGUAUGUUAUGCACAUCCAUUUCUAACUUGAUGUCUCUCCCACUAGAGAAAAAUUGUCAGAAUAUGGCUUUACCUCAAGGUGACAUUUCUAAACACUACGUAUAAGCACUUUGGUUACUAUAAACACUAUAAACCUCAGUAAAAAAACAAAAAAGCUUUAUACUGAUGGGGGAAGAAUGCUAUUAAUCCUAAAGCCGUCUCUGAAUAAAAAUGUGGAGGGCCACCUGCAAUAUGACAAGAGAACAAAAGCUGUAAAGACUGGUGAGUUUCCUCAUGAUUUGGAGAAAGAAGACUUCUUUCCAGCCAGUAUGUCAAGAUCAACACUGGCGUCAUAAUAACAUGUUUUAGUCAUUUGCUUCAGAGUCUUCACUCUGUUUUAAGCAGCCUUUUUAAACCUAGUUCCUUGUCUAGAUAGAGCUACAUGUUGUCAUAAAUGGGGACUAGCUGUACACCACAGCACUGAGGUAGCAGGAAGGCAAUUUUAAGCAGGAAAAUGGGAUAAGAAAGAAGAGAUGAAAACUAUUACUGUGUCAAGGUCCCAGUAUGAACUAGUCCUGUCAAUAAUGCUGUUGCUUUUGGGGGGGGGGGGGGGGGAGAACAGAGUGAGAGAACAUACAUAAAGAAUGUGAUUCAAAAGUGUACUUUUUUAUCUACCAGUAAUCUAAAUUGACCCCCAGAAAGAAAUCUGCUCUUGAGAGCUCUCAGAAAAAGUGGUUGGUGUUUCCCAUACUAGAAAUAUUCCCAUUCACAGAAGCAUAUUUGGCUUGCCUCUGUUUGGCUUGCCCAGAGGUGGGUCAGCCAUAACUACUUCAAUCUUUGGCUUGACCUCUCUUUUUCUUCCUAGUUGCUUCAUGAAAUAGGAAGGGAAGAUAUUUCCCUUUUCUCAGGUACUUAUCACACCAGUCUGUUGUUUUAGGUCAUUCUGCCUGAAAACCACUUCUGUACUUGAAAAAGUGCAGAAUGGCAAUGCACUCUUUCAGGCCCUCACUAAAUGUGUACUUCAUCAGCAUUUCCAUGUUUACUUUGUUACAUCUGAAAUACAAGAAUACCAUUUACAUCUCCUUGUUUCCUCUGCUUCCUGCCCCAAGUUGCAUGUAUUAUUCAAAACAAAACAAUAAAAAGGCUGUCAUUGCACCUUUGUCAAAUUAUAUCAUGGUACUAUUAUAACUGCCCUUCCCUCAUUUCUCACCCAGAUCAGGAAGAUUAAUACAUACCAUACCACUUUCACCAUUUUUUCCAUACUUUUUCUCCUUGCACACUUCUGUUUUUGUAUAUAACACCUUGAACUUUUUAUAUUCACUCUUAACUGGCUUUUUAAACUUUUCCUGAACCCUGUGGUUUCUCUGGACAUUAAUCUUUAAUAGGAUUACAUCAGAAUUGCAAUAUCGCACUGCUCCUCUUAUUUUAAAAAAGUACAUUAAAAUACUGUUUUAAAAAAACACUCCAGAGGAUGGAGAUCACACAUACAGCAGUCCUUUUGAGAAUUCUUGGGAAUCCCAGUAUCUUCCCAGUCCAACCACUAGAAGUAGUUGGGAUUUCCUGCUGGGGAUCCCCAGGAGGAACAAUGCAAGCAUCCCCAUAUUUGCUUCCAAAAUUGCAACGAAGCAGAAUGAGAUAUUCAUGUCCAAAGUGUACUAAACCAUAGCAAGAUUCUUUCCAAGUGGGAACAGGAACAGAUUCCAAAUGAGCCAGUAGUCUUUCAUCACAGUACAGCACUGGGAGAGCCACAACAUUGUGUGUUAAGGUCUGGACUAAAACAGUGCAAUUGCAGAAUAACAAGUGUGUGAUAUGCUCCAGAUUCUGACGAAUGCACGUCUGCUAUACUUGGCAUAACCAGAAAUGAGCACAACUCUGCCCUGCCAAUUCCUAGACCAGUGACCUGAUAGAAAGAAGAGACCAAGGCCCCAUCUACACUGCAACAGACAAGAGUUCUUUCUCCCACCCUGGAUUUUCCACAGAUAUAUAAACCCCACUUGCCUAGUUUCCAACAGACCUCACAACCUCUGAGGAUGCCUGCCAUAGAUGUGGGCGAAACAUCAGGAGAGAAUACUUCUGGAACAUGGCCAUACAGCCUGGAAAACAUACAACAACCCUGUGAUCCCGGCCAUGAAAGCCUUCGACAACACGUGGAAACCUAAGGGUUUCUGACCAAAUAGAAUUGAAACAGUGAGAUGCUUACAAUGCUUUCUGUGUAUGAAUAAUUUAAGCAAAGACCAAGGGAAGCAAAGGCAAGUCACAAGGUGUACUAAGAGUUGAAAAAAAGUGAAACAAAAGAAAAAUACAUUGACUGUAGAUUGGAUUAGCAGAGUUCCAUAGAAAACACAAGGGGGUGAUUUGAAGUGUAUAAUGUCAAUGGUAAUUGAUGUGAGCCAAAAGAAAAGCAGUAUGCACCAAAUGGUCUAUUUAAAAAUCAAUUUGAAACAGUUAUUACAUACAAGUAAAGUGAAGAGGGCAUAUACAGUUUGCCUUGCAGGAAUCAAAUACAUAUCCUCUAGGUCAGUGGUUCUCAACCUGUUGGCUGUGGCUCAGCAGUGGGCCACGAGAACAAAAAUCUGGUCCGCAAACCUCCUUCCUCUUUAUUUAUUUAUUUUUAUUAAUUUUACUUCCGCUUCUUUCCACAGAGCUGACCAUUGCAUUGGCUAGACCACAUCAGCUCAAGAUCAUUAAAUAUGGUUUUCUGUGGGCAAGCAGAUGGUGACGACUGGAUACCAUAUGUUCUGUAUCAGAAACUAGAGCUGAUGUGGUCUAUCCAAUGCAAUUUUCUGAAUCAGCACUCCAAAAAACCAAACCGAAUCGAAAGAUGACCAAAAACUGAUUUGUAACCCUUUUUGGUACUAAUGUUGGAGAGUGGUCCCUGGUCAAAGUGGUCCCUGGUCAAAAAAGGUUGGGAACCACUGCUCUAGGUCCACAAUUUCUUUCCUGUGUUUCAAAGAUUGCUAAAGAAGCCUAUCUAGUUUCCUCAGCAAUAGUAUACGUUUUCCUGAACUCUGUGGGGCGAGAUGUAUGGAUGCUCCAAAUGGAGCAUACUGUUUAGUUAUAGUAGCACAUGCUCUUUGAAAAGUUGGCUUGCCAUUGUUUUCCCUAAGAUUGUUUGAAGCACCUGAGAGGGACCCAUCCCAUGACCAACCAUCUCCUGCUAUCAGAGUCGGCCCUAGGUAUUUUUCAAGUGUAGGCGAACAGAAGUUUGGCACACCCCCCCCCCCCCCAAACCAAUCACUGAAAAAUAAAAGCGUUGGGUAAGCGAAAAUGUUUGAUAAUAAGGAGGGAUUAAGGAAAAGCCUAUUAAACAUCAAAUUACAUUAAGAUUUUACAAAUUAAGCACUCAAACAUCAUGUUUUACAACAAAUCAACAGAAAAAGUAGUUCAAUACCUUGCGGAGGCAGGCCGCAGGAGACAGGAGUUGCCUCAAUGGCUCCCCCAACAAGAUGGCGCCACAGGCAACUGCUUAGUUGGCUUGGUGGUUGAACCGCCUCUGCCUGCUAUUCAACUUUAGGUCUCCGUUCCUGUAAGUGCAAUUAUUAUCUCAGCUAUGUGGAUGCCAUUGUUCUGUUACCUGACCCCAUAUGUCUGGAUGCUAUAUGUAAAUGUGACAAUUAUGUCAUCCUUUCCUGUUUUGCUGAGGUCUGUAGAUACUGCGGGUCAAACACAAGCAUUACAGUACCAGUGAUGACAAUCUGUAUAUAUCUGCUUUACAUAUAGUUGUGGUAACUCCACUUAGGGACCAAUUAUUUCACUCAACGACUGCCCUGAUACUUGAAUAAUAUUUCCAUGUCUUCUUCCUGAAAAGAUUAGAAUUAACCAUACAGGAAUUUGCAUUCUACCUUUUCUCUUGCAAAUUUGGCAUUUGACCUCAAUGUUAACAUCAUUUUUAAAAGAUUCACAGACAGCCAGACACACACGCCUUUCAAUUGUGCAUAUCACUAAUAUUUGUCAGGUGCUGUGGACCGUAGACCGUGGGAACAUAUAACAAAUGCGUAGUCUGCAAACAGCUCUUUGUUGGCUGGAAAUUAUUGUCACUGUGGGACAGAAGUGGACAAUAAUCAGCCUCAUUGUUAGUCACAUUUGGUGAGCAGAUGUGUAGUUUGUUGGGCUACUCACAUGUUCUACAAGUUUCUGAAACAAACGUGGACUAAUUUUGUCAUCUUGUGCAGAAUUGUACUUAUAUGUUUUGAGACUAUUGAGCAGAUCGCUAACUACAUACAGACGGACAGACACACACACAUCAUAUAGCUCUCCUGUGUUUUCCAUAAGAAAUACUGAGCAUAAGACGGCGCAUUGUUGCUGCAGUGGUGGUGGAGGUAGACUCUAUUUUGGGGAAAAUAUUAUUAGGGUUUAACCAAUUUUAUCUGUGAUCUCCCUCAGGUACCAUUCCAGGAGUAAGGCGGCAUAUUAAUUAAUAAAAAUAAUUAAUAGCAUUAAGAGGAAGUACUUGGCCAACUAGUUUACAUGCUUUAUUCUGCUGUGUGGAAGGGGCCUAUAUCCUCUGGAAUUCCUUAACAGUUAAAUUCAUGUCAAACUGCAUAAAUUCUACAAUGUAGAUGCACCGUAUGAUUUCCCCACUAUAGAGCCACUUUCAAUCUCAAAUAGCAACCCAAGGUCAACAUAUAAUUUUCUUCUGUUUUUAUCUCUCCCUAAUUAAUUUCAAAGUGCUUCAAGAGUCCAGGGGAAUGCAAUUAUAAUACAUUUAAAUUGUAAGUGUGCGUGUCUAAUGUAAACAGCAAGCAAUCUUGUGACAGCUUAGACUGAUCACUAUAUUAUCACAUAAUAACUGUCUUUAAGGUUUCCCAAAGCUUUUCAUCAUUUUUGCCUACAGCUGUCUAAAAAGACUUCACCUUCUGUCUAGAAUAUUUAACUGUUCUUAUUUCAGUGUCACAAUAAUAUUAAUUUUUGUAGCCUCUCACCUGAUGAUGACUUCUGAAGAACAAGAAAACUCAUAGACUAUGUGAUAUUUUGGAGACCAUAAUAAAUAUAUUAUCCAGCUAUGAUUUUUAUUUUUACAUAUGGAGUUCUUUUUCAAAAAUAUUUCCCUUGUGACAUUUGCAAAUCAACAUAUCCAUACAAUAACAUUGUUUAUUAAUGAUUUCAUUGAUCAAAUGAUAUUCUGUGAAGGUUUGCAUUAAGACCACAUUCUCCCCAGCCAACAAUUCACCGGGCAAAAUUAAGCUCCUGCUCCAGAACGUUUCUUUAUUCAGCAGAAGAUGGAUUGAUUAAGUGAAGGUUACUAAAAAGUCACAAACUGCACACUUCACAUUUCCAGGAUGAGAACAAAGGACAAAGUUUCCCUUGUGAAAUAGAACCAGACGGACUCAGAAGUGGGAAAAUGUUGCUGGAUUUUUACUGGUGCAAAUAUGAACUGAGCUAGAAUACCUUCAGCUGCAGCUGGACUACAGUAAAAUGCUAGAUGAUUUAUCUCCAUGGCUGGAAGGAAUGCAUUUGUGGCUGUCUCUUCUGGGCCUGAAAUGGCAAGUGCAUCUUCUUGACAUUCCUGGGCUGGAUGCUCCUGGCAAAUGAAUCCAGGGCUGUUACCACAGCCACUGAUCCUGGCCUUUAGAAGCCAAGAGAAAAAGCUACUGCAAUCAUACCAUCAGUAGCAAUGCUGCAGUGCUCUUACAGGCUACAGCUGACUUUCCAAGCCUCUGAACAGGAGGAGAGGCAGCAACUGAGAAUGCAGUGGCAUUCAGUGCUGACUGGGAAAAGAGCUGUCGCUGCCAAAUCGCCCAGACUUAACAGGCUAGAGGAAUUAAUUGUGCCCUUGGUACUAGUCCAUGAAAGGAGAAUUGUAGAAAGUGCCUAACAUUCAUUUACUAUAUGUUAGGACCAAAUGGAAGCACAGGGAUGAAUGUACCUUGCAUUUGGAUUUGUUCUCAGCAAAUCUGAUUUUUUCUUCUCUAAAGUGAACAUGCCAGAGGAGCAAUUGGACUGCCCCGCUAUUAUAGUUCAUCACAUCAAGCAAUCUUUCUGAAUGACAAAAGCAAUAACAGGUUCAGUCUCUACAAAAGGGAAAGCUUUCCAAUCCUCAAAGAGGAGGCAUCUAUCAUCAUAGGGGCCACCUGCCAGGCCUGUAAGAGACGUGCUUUCCAGCCCUCACAUAAGGAACAUCCCAUAUUUUAAAAAGAGACACCUGGCAACCCUAACCGAGGGAUUUAUGGAACGCCUUGUCUUGCUUUUCUCCUUUGAGGGACACGUAAAGCUUUUUGAAAUUAGUGGCUUCAUCCUCUGUAACAUCCUAAUGGAUUCCCACUUGUGCCUGGCUUCCCUAACCUUUUUUGAGUUCAAGUUGAGAGUUGUGCCAACAAUGAGUCAGACUUUUGGGGGAUGUUUAGAAUCGGUUUUCUUCUGCCUGCAUUAAUAAAAAAAAUCCCUUCCAUAAAGUUGGCACAAGUGACCUCUAGUGGCACUUUCUGAUAUCACUGUAUUUUCCCUAAUUUUAGGUUGCUUACUAAAAAACUUAACAUCUGAGCAGCUCAUCCAGGCAAGUGUUUUGGGCCAAUUCACAUUGCACCAUUUAAUGUUUCCUGACAUUUCUUGUUGCUUCCGUACCUAAAUACCCUACUAAUUAAAAACAAGAACUUUAAUCAUUGGUAAAAGGAAAAAGUUUUCCCCUGACAUUGUCUAGUCAUGUCCGACUCUGGGGGUUGAUGAUUAUCUCCAUUUCUAAGUGUUGUCCUUAGACACCUCCAAGGUCAUGUGGCCGGCAUGACUGCAUAGAGUGCAGUUACAUUUCCGCUGGAGCAGUAUCUAUUGAUCUACUCACAUUUGUAUCUUUUCAAACUGUUAGGUUGGCAGAAGCUGGGGCUAACAUCGGGAGCUCACACCAUUCCCUGGAUUCGAACCACAGACCUUUUGGUCAGCAAGUUCAGCAGCUCAGCGGUUUAACCUGCUGUGCCAUCCGGGGCUCCAACUUUAAUCAUAAAGAGGCAAAUUUUUGUUUGAUUGUAUUAUUACCCAUACAUGGAUGCUCAGCUUGUAAUAUGGGUUGAAAUGUCUGCUGUGGAUGCAUCCAGCACCCCCUCAAAAUCCCCAGAUGUGUUCCUGUUGCAAUCAUCUGUUUCUCUCUCAGCAUUUUAAAAUUAUGUUUUAAUUUUAAAAAAUGUUCUAGAUAGGUAGCAUUUUAAAAAUGUAAAGUGCAAUGGAGCUAUUACUUUGUCUGUUUCCUCAGAAUGGCUUCAGCCCCUUCCAUAUUCAAUAUUGUGGGGUGGGUCACUGCUCUGUCUCUUAACCUGAUACCUCUUCAUUUAUGCUGGGGAGAAAUAUCCCAUUCUGGUAACCUGAAUGGAAUUAAAUUGUAGUAGUUCCUAUGGAAGUGAAAAUAGGGAGGGCAAAUAUUUCGUGGCAUGCAUGUCAAUACAUUCAAGCCACAAAAUAAUGAUUGUGAUUCUUCUCCCUGCCACCAUGGCAAAUUGUUUCACCAAAGUCCAAAAUCAUUAAGCUGCCCCAAACUAAAAGUAGAAAUAAAUAAAUGUCACUUUCAAAGUUCUGUUCCUAAACUUUACUGGGGGUUAACAGUAGUUGGAAAUUUUCAGAUGGAAAUAUGGUCUUAUUUUUCCUUUUUAUUUUUACUGUAAAUAAUCAUUGUCCCAAAUACACAUUAUGGGUUGAAUUGCAAUACUAAAAAUUACCUUUCAAAAAUUUAAAUCCAGAUUAUAAAAAAAAACAUAUGUACAAUAUUUUGGGAAAAAAAGUGCAUCGUAACUUGCUUUUUGAAAACGUAUGUAUGUAAAAUAAGAUGUAAAAUGUUGGGUGAAGCAUCUAUUAAAUACAAUCCCAGUGAGGUCAGUAUUUCUGCACUCUUUCAUUACCUGCAUUGAAUACUGCACCUUUACCCAAUGUCUUCACAAUAGAUCUGUGGUUCCCAACCCUUUUUUGACCAGGGACCACUUGAUCAGGGACCACUUUGACCAGUGACUACUCUUCAACAUUAGUACCAAAAAGGUUACAAAGCAGUUUUUGGUCAACUUUAGAUUUGGUUUGGUUAUUUGGGGUGCUGAGUCAGAAAAUUGCAUUGGAUAAUUGCUCUAGUUUCUGAUACAGAACAUAUGCCAUCUAGUAGUCGCCAUCUGCUCACCCACAGAAAACCAUAUUUAAUCAUCUAGAGCUGAUGUGGUCUAUCCAAUGCAAUUUUCUGAAUCAGCAUCCAAAAUAAUCCCAGCUGCCUAAAAACAAAGACACCAAGGCAAUCCCACUUCCAGGCACCACAUGGAAUGGCUCAGGGGGAGGGAGGGGGAGGAGAAGCAGCAGUCAGGAGACUUGUUGUUGUGCCUUUCAUGGGUAGUCAGCCUCUCCCUUCCUGACAUCCAGUUGCCUUGACACUAUAAGAAGGUUUCCUGAGGCCAGUUGCUCUUGUUGCAACUGUGUAGGAAUGAUGAGGCUGCGGACCAUAUUUUAGUUCUUGGGGACCACUGGUGGUCCAUGGAUCACAGGUUGGGAACCACUGGAAUAGAUCAAAAUUCAUCUAAAUGCUUGAUUAUCGUUGAUGUGAAUUGCAGCUUCCUUUCCCCACAAGAGAAAAUAAAUCAUCCAUGUACUGCACAAGGUGUCAGCAAAAGCACUGAUGACAUGAACUGAGCAAGGAGUUAGAACUGAUUUUCCAAAAAUAAGGACUGUCCGCAUCCUACAGAUAAACGUUCUUACCACACAUGGGGUCAGAAUUUGUGAAAGUUGAUUUUUUUUUCUGUGUGAGAAGCGACUUAAGAAAAUGCGAGUUACUUCUGGUGUGAGAGAAUUGGCUGUCUGCAAGGACGUUGCCCAGGGGACGCCUGAAUGUUUUUUGAUGUUUUUACCAUCUUUGGGGGAGGUUCCCACAUGGAGCUGGAGCUGAUAGAGCUCAUCUGAAUGUGCUGGGGGGACAGAUGGGAAAACUGAGGGCCCUUCCAGACGGGUCCUAAAUCUCAGGAUGUGACACCAGGUUUUCUGUUUAUCCCAGAUUAUCUGGCAGUGUGGACUCAUAUAAUCCAGUUUAAAGCAGAAAACCUCGGAUCCGAUCUUGGGCUAUUGGGCCUUUCGGGAAGGGUCAUAGUCACAGAUCAAGUUAGCCUUUAGUCUAAUAUGAAAAUAUCAUCAGCUUCUUGCAACCAGUGAUUAUAUGAUUUGAUUGCAACUAUUUCUUGAGUCAAGAAAUGCUACUAAUGGUGGUUUCAGGAGACGCUGCAGAUCCACCCUGGGCCACAAGUUAACAGUUCUUCUUCUUAUUAUCUAAAUCUGAUUUUGUUGUAUCUUCCUGUAUUUAUUCAUUUCUAUGUUUGAAUAGUUACUAUUAGUAUAAAUAAAAUAGCAUGAAUAAGUAUUGA